GAUGAAGAACGUAGCGAAAUGCGAUACUUGGUGUGAAUUGCAGAAUCCCGUGAACCAUCGAGUCUUUGAACGCAAGUUGCGCCCGAAGCCGUCAGGCCGAGGGCACGCCUGCCUGGGCAUCACACGCCGUUGCCCCCCCGCGCCCCGCACCCAACUCUUUGGGAGCGACCGCGGGGCGGGCUGAUGAUGGCCUCCCGUGCGCUCCGCCGCGCGGUUGGCCCAAAUACCGAGUCCCCGGCGACGUGCGCCACGACGAUCGGUGGUUGAGAGACCUCUGUCGCAAGUCGUGCGCGCCCGUCGCGUCACGCGGGCUCGCAUAGCGCCUCGCGCCGUACCCGGUGCGGAGCUUUCAACGCGACCCCAGGUCAGGCGGGGUUACCCGCUGAAUUUAAGCAUAUCAAUAAGCGGAGGA
rnacentral:misc_RNA from 1 species